UCUGAGACAACUAGUUAUAACAACCAGAUUUCCGAGUUUCGUGAACAUCGUUAUGAUUAGACAUGUGCGUUGUCAGAGUUCAACGCGACCGAAACGAGUGGCCCGGUUUAGUGCACAAAUGACAUGACGUGAACUCGCGUGUAGGAUAGCGUUAGCUAGGCAUUGAACGUAAAUAAAAUAAGGCAACCAGGUGUGCUCAAGGUUGCACUGGCAUCACGAGGUCCACGUAGAUUAGUGAAAAAGUCAUCACAGAUUUACUACAUGAUGCCUGAGGCUAUGGCAUAAUAGUCUCAUAUAAUGGUCUCAUACUGAGAAGUCGCACAUGGCAGCGGCCCUUUUCUUUUUUGCACACUUGUGAUGGGGGCCCUGCGUCCAACGGUGGAUUUCGGAAUGUCACGGUAGUUACGAGAGUUUCGUAUUGGGAACUCCGGAGUUGGAACGAUUCCGGAAUCAUUCCGCAUUUCAAACAACCGGAAUGGAAUGGGAAUGAAAUGAUGGCACCAGUCGGUGGGUAGAUGGAAUGUGAAUGGAAUGUUAGCCUGAGAUUCCGUAAUGUAGUUGGAAUGGAAUGAGCACAUAGUCCUGAAUAGCUAAAUGUUGAUUUUAAGUGAAACUACAAACCCGGUAAGUUUGCGAAUUAGACUAAACUUGGCCAAUUUAUUCAAUUUCUCAAUGUUCCUCAGUACUGGGCUCUUUCAGUAUCUAUCGAUGUACGUGACUACAUUUGUCACGGUGAUUACAAAGAAAGCUGUAUUCCGCACAUUUUACGCUUCUGAAGACCCGGAAAUCUUUCUCCAUUACAACGUUGAAAAGAAUUCAGAGACAUCAAUGUUUAGUUACUAUUUUAGCAGUGUUGAGGUAAUGCCGUUAAGCUUCUGCGAGUCAACUGCGCCUUGUCUACCGCUGCUCGCGCCGGUCAGAUUUUUUGUUUUUUUUCAGUCGGCGUAACAUCUGCUGAUAUAUAGCGCGUUUUUUUUUUUUUUUACGGCCUUUCUUAUUGCCAGGGCACAAACAGAUUGCCUGUGCAACGCCUCUCUUGAGCAUAAUGUCCAUAAUUUUAUGGACAUUAUGGACACAGCUAUGCAACCGUUGUUUUUAAUAUUAAAAUAAAGUGCACCAAGACCAUACGCCUCUUUUCUCCGGUGACUGUAUCAAAACAGCACUGUAACAUCAUUUACCGUUUCUAAUUAGUGCACGGAUGAUGCAACAGGUCCUUAACUACAUUAUGUAAUAUCUUCUAAAUGAUCUAUAUACAAAGGUUUAAAAUGUUACAUAGUCCUGUAUUGUGUUUAUGUGUGUUUUAAUUCGAGUUAAAUUUUAUUUAUUUCUCUGUCUAGUCCUAUUACACGUGUACUCAUCUUGUGCACUCAUUUUGUGCAUGUGUUUAGUGAAAUUGCGAAACAAAGUUUUUAAAGUAGGGGCCCUGUAUUCGCUAGACAUGUGCUCUACUAUCCGAGUGUUCGCGCAGUGCUUUUGUUAGGGCUAAUGCUAAAGUUUUCACUGCGCAUAGGCAGAUAGAUUUUGGCCGAAGCCAAAACUGACACAAUUUUUCUUUCUGUAUGUCUUUUCUUCUUUUCUUUCUUUCUUUCUUUAUUUAUUUAUUUAUUUUCGAGAGAGAGAGAGAGAGAGAGAGAGAGAGAACAAUAGAUAUUAGAGGGAUAGCAGGCGAUAACGUGAUGCGGAGAGACAACAGGCCACGCAGCGUGUUUCUCCUCGUGCGAAAAGAUAUUACGUAAUGUUAUUCAUAACGUUGCGAAGACUUCAAAAUUAUGUUUUUGGUAACUAUACGCACGCAAGGGAGGCCCGAGUAGUAGACAAUUGUACCGAAUAAAGCGUUUCAGUUACUGAAAUUGAAGGAAUGGAACGGUUCAGUUCAUCCCCUUCAGGGGUGGGAAUGGUCCAGCUCUCACCAUUCUGAUGAGAUAAAAGGUGUGGUAUCGCGGGGAUCGUCACUCCGGAGUGAAGUGCAAAUAGAAUGUAGGGGCCCUCUCUGCAGCACUGGUAGAUAUUAGGUCAAGCAGUUCACACAGACAGAUGAGAGCUUGUCCUGUGCGACGCCUCUUUUGAGCAGGUAAGGGCCAUAACUCUAUGAAAACAGUUAUGGAACCAUUGUUUUUAAUUUUAAAAUAAUGUGCGCCACGCUGUGAGCGCUUUACAAAGCCCCCUAAGCUAGAGCUCUCUCAUAGUGCCUUCGUAUCUGUGUUUUCUUUCAUCCAGGUACUUGGAAGAUUCCGCAGGAACACAGCGAGAACUGCUCCUCCUGGUCCGUCGGCUCCGCUGCAAGAUGGACGACGAAACCUCCAAAGCGGCGGCGCCCUUCCUACGAAGGAUGCCGACGGCAGCGCUUCGUCGUCGACUGGUGGAGCUAAACGGAGACCUGCUCGAGAAUUCUAAGAGUCUGGAAGACUCGUCCGACGACGAUGCGACGCAUGUUAAGAUAUAUGGGGUUUUAUGUGCCAAAACCACUUUCUUAUUAUGAGGCACGCCGUAGUGGAGGACUCCGGAAAUUUCGGCCACCUGGGAUUCUUUAACGUGCACCUAAAUCUAAGUACACGGGUGUUUUCGCAUUUCGCUCCCAUCGAAAUGCGGCCGCCGUGGCCGGGAUUCGAUCCCGCGACCUCGUGCUCAGCAGCUCAACACUAUAGCCACUGAGCAACCACGGCGGGUGAUGCGACGCAUUCAUCUCUAUACGCGGUGUAGACGAGACAAAUACAAUCCUCCUUGGUACCGCUGCCGACGAAGGCUUCUUCUUCGUGGACCACGUUAUCAGCAGAUUUUCGGAGUCCGGCUACUUACUGACCCGAUGGCCCAAGUCGCAGGGAGUAGGUAACGUUGCCACCUUCGUGGAAGAAUACGAGGUGAACAAGAGUACUCAGCUCCGUUAAGCACAUGGAGACAUUUGGUUUUGACAGGCUCAAUUGUCCUUCUUUAUAGAGGGCUUCCCACUUCCCGAGGCUGCAGUUGAACACUUGCGGGCCCUAUAAACGCAAGGCCAAGACUCUUGUCGGUUAUGCCGAGAAAGAAGAGAGCGUGUAUUUAGCGUGUUCAAUGUGCGGUUUUUGAAAAAGACUGGCAUCAUGCUCAGCUCAAGCACAUAACAUAGAGAAAUGAAGCGGCCAAGGUACCUUAUACGUCAACCUCUCCACGACAACCCAUGUAUAACAGAGAAGGACAGAGGUGAUCGAAAGACGUGCCACUGGCAUCUAGGCUCUACAUCCACGCCCACCAAUCAAAGCAGUCUGGCAACUGGGCAGCGCUGAUAAGAAGAAGAAGUGACGAGGCGCAAAAUGAGCUUGUGUUCGUGCUGUCGAAUCAUGCUGGCGCUCGGCCUUCUCUGGCCGGUGUACGCCUCGUUCAAGACCAUCGAGGAGAGGAAUAACGGCCACAAGGCGGUUUUCCUGCUCAGGUACUGGGUCAGCAUUGGCACCUACCUACUCCUGGACUGCACGAUCGAGAUCUUCUUCGGCGCCCACUUCACGGACUUCAUCAGCGGACUAAGGCUGGCCGCCUUCGUCUGGGUACUGGUACAAGCGCCGGAGGACUUUUAUGAAAGUUUCGUUCGACCUCGAAUGAAACUGUUGGAGCCGACUGCCGACAAGUUGCAGGGGGAAUUGGAGCAAUUCACGAUUUUCAUGUAAAGCAAAUAUCAAAGCAUUCAACAACAAAUACAUGUCGUUAUUUUUCGCUAUCA